GAUGAACGCUGGCGGCGUGCCUAAUACAUGCGAGUCGAGCGAACGGACGAGAAGCUUGCUUCUCUGAUGUUAGCGGCGGACGGGUGAGUAACACGUGGAUAACCUACCUAUAAGACUGGGAUAACUUCGGGAAACCGGAGCCAAUACCGGAUGAUAUUUUGAACCGCAUGGUUCAAAAGUGAAAGACGGUCUUGCUGUCACUUAUAGAUGGAUCCGCGCUGCAUUAGCUAGUUGGUAAGGUAACGGCUUACCAAGGCAACGAUGCAUAGCCGACCUGAGAGGGUGAUCGGCCACACUGGAACUGAGACACGGUCCAGACUCCUACGGGAGGCAGCAGUAGGGAAUCUUCCGCAAUGGGCGAAAGCCUGACGGAGCAACGCCGCGUGAGUGAUGAAGGUCUUCGGAUCGUAAAACUCUGUUAUUAGGGAAGAACAUAUGUGUAAGUAACUGUGCACAUCUUGACGGUACCUAAUCAGAAAGCCACGGCUAACUACGUG
rnacentral:rRNA from 1 species